UACAUAUCCCAGCAUGCAACGUCCCCAGAACUACACCUAGCUGCAUGCCGGGAAAGCUCCUGGGCGUGCUUCCUGGGCAGCCAUGUGCGUACUCUUAACUUCUCGUGGGCUUGCGGGCGCUCCGGACUCUCGCCCCAGCCCUUCGAGCCUGGCCUCCCAGCAAACUCCCCGUCCUUGGGAACCUGGCUUGGAGGAGGGGGGGAGCAAAAAACAAGUGUGAAGUUUGCCUACCCUCCCUCGGUUUGCAGUCCUACCCCCCUCCCCCCAUCCUCCCGCCUGACCCUCUCUAUAUAAGUGACAGUCAUGGCUGUAAAGCUGGGAGGGACCUCGCAGGCGGUUCAGUCUUACGUCCUCCUUUGACAGAUGAAGAAACUGAGGCCCAGAAAGGGUAAAUGACCUGUUAGGAGCAUAAGUCCUGGGCUGGAAGGGACCUCAGAGGUCAUCCAGUUCAGCGCCCCUCAUUUGACAGUAGAGGAAACUGAGGCCCAGAGCAGUGAAGCUACUGGCCCCAAGGUCACACAGCUCCUUUAAAGGGGGGACAGCUCUGUAAUCUCAAUGUCAUUUCCUCCCCCAGCAUGUAGGGAGCACCUGCCGUCAAAGCUGCUUCAUGUCCUCUGGCUGGAAGUCUGUGACACCCUCCCAGAUUCGCUUGGAAGGAAGGCUCGUGACUUUCCCUCUCCUCUCAGGGAAAUUCUGUGCUUGUGAGCUGUCCCAGGCUCACCACCUCAGCACGCUGGCCUGUGUCAGACCCAGGAGACCGGUGUGAACGGAACGUUCCAAAUGAGAUGACACAAAACAAGGAAGUCAACUCCCAAAUGAGUGCUCAAAGGAUGCACCUGGCCAGCAUUUGAAAGCAAAACCUGUGAUGAAGCAAAUGAAGUGGUAUUAACUGCUAAGUGAAACACUGAAAGCUUUCAGUGAGACAAAAAAAGAGUAGUGCUGCUUACUUGCUUCAACAGGCGCCUUUCUUGGAUAGGGACAUAAAUGAGUAAGGUGGGGAAAACAUCUUUGCUUUUCCUUAGAAGCAUUUUAUAAGUUCCUAAUCGAUCCAGUGAUCAAUAUUUCUAAGCACCCACUAUGUGUCAGGCAUAAUCCCUGCCUUCAAGGAGUUUACAAUCUAAUGCAAAUAUAAUACAAAGCAAGCUAUAUACAGGAUAAAUAGGAAAUAAUUAAAAGAGCUUUAUCUAUAUUUAAAAUACAUUUGUUUUACAUAUAUAUUCCACACUCACAUAUGUUUCUGGUUCCCUCCCUCCCCCUUUUUUUUAAUUAACACCUUCAUUUGAAUUUUGCAAGCUUUCACCUACCGACAUGGGUCCUUGGAGAGAUACAAGCUUUUUAGUGUUUGUCUUGCAAGGCAUAAUCUUUGACACUUCCUUUAUUAGAAUGCCAGUAGGUCACCUGCUUGCGGUUCCUGUUUGUUGACUUCUUGUGUUAAACUGUUCGCAUCAGCUUGGAUUAGCUGUAUUUGUUAUUAGUG
rnacentral:lncRNA from 1 species